rnacentral:rRNA from 1 species
GACGAACGCUGGCGGCGUGCUUAACACAUGCAAGUCGAACGGAAAGGCCCUGCUUUUGUGGGGUGCUCGAGUGGCGAACGGGUGAGUAACACGGGGGUAACCUGCCCUUUACUUUGGGAUAACUUCAGGAAACUGGGGCUAAUACCGGAUAGGAGCUCCUGCUGCAUGGUGGGGGUUGGAAAGUUUCGGCGGUUGGGGAUGGACUCGCGGCUUAUCAGCUUGUUGGUGGGGUAGUGGCUUACCAAGGCUUUGACGGGUAGCCGGCCUGAGAGGGUGACCGGCCACAUUGGGACUGAGAUACGGCCCAGACUCCUACGGGAGGCAGCAGUGGGGAAUAUUGCACAAUGGGCGGAAGCCGGAUGCAGCAACGCCGCGUGCGGGAUGACGGCCUUCGGGUUGUAAACCGCUUUCGCCUGUGACGAAGCGUGAGUGACGGUAAUGGGUAAAGAAGCACCGGCUAACUACGUG